AACGUAGACCUCAAGCGUUAUCCGGAUUUAUUGGGCGUAAAGCGUGUGUAGGAGGUCUUGUGCGUCUUUGCUUAAAUCCCACCGCCUAACGGUGGACCUGGCAGAGAUACGACGAGACUGGAGGAGGUUAGAGGUAAGCGGAGCGCACGGUGUAGGGGUGAAAUCCGUUGAUAUCGUGCGAAACACCAAAGGCGAAGGCAGCUUACUGGGACUUUCCUGACUCUGAGACACGAAAGCGUGGGGAGCAAAAAGG
rnacentral:rRNA from 1 species